rnacentral:rRNA from 1 species
AGAGUUUGAUCAUGGCUCAGAACGAACGUUAGCGGCGNNCCUAACACAUGCAAGUCGAACGCGACAGGGGCAACUCUGUUGAGUGGCGCACGGGUGAGUAACACGUAGGUAAUCUCCCCCCGAGUGGUGGAUAACCCUCCGAAAGGAGAGCUAAUACAGCAUAAGACCACGGUUUCGAAAGGGACUGAGGUCAAAGCGGAGGAUCGUAAGACUUCGCGCUUGGGGAUGAGCCUGCGGCCCAUCAGGUAGUUGGCGGGGUAAUGGCCCACCAAGCCAUAGACGGGUAGCUGGUCUGAGAGGAUGAUCAGCCACACUGGAACUGAGACACGGUCCAGACUCCUACGGGAGGCAGCAGUGGGGAAUCUUGCGCAAUGGACGAAAGUCUGACGCAGCGACGCCGCGUGGGUGAUGAAGGCCUUCGGGUUGUAAAGCCCUGUGGGGAGGGACGAAUAAGUUUCGGUUAAUACCCGAAGCGAUGACGGUACCUCCUUAGCAAGCACCGGCUAACUCUGUGCCAGCAGCCGCGGUAAGACAGAGGGUGCAAACGUUGUUCGGAAUUACUGGGCGUAAAGCGCGUGUAGGCGGCCAAGCAAGUCGGAUGUGAAAGCCCUCGGCUCAACCGGGGAAGUGCACUCGAAACUGCUAGGCUAGAGUCUCGGAGAGGAUCGUGGAAUUCUCGGUGUAGAGGUGAAAUUCGUAGAUAUCGAGAGGAACACCGGUGGCGAAGGCGGCGAUCUGGACGAUGACUGACGCUGAGACGCGAAAGCGUGGGGAGCAAACAGGAUUAGAUACCCUAGUAGUCC